CGAUGUGCGCGACGUGCUUCACGUCCGUCGGCUGCCCGAUCUGCAUCUCCGGCUCCUUCGCAUCUGCGACACCCCACGCAGCAGACAAGGUAAACAUCUGAAUUACAGCACCCACAUUCUGGUUCUAUAUAUUCCUACGUUUCGAUUGCAUUGAUUUGAACUGUGCUAUGAAACACAUCAAUUUUGGGCGGCAUUGGAAAUUACAUUUUGGAAGAAAUUGUAAUCUAAUAGGUUGAUGACUGUGCUUACCGAAAAUCUGCGAGAUGUAUCGGAGACCCUUGAGAAGGCCCUUCAUCUUAGCAGGUUCCACAGGCGGAUGCCCGCCCGCGGUGCCCCGAGAGGAAUCCACCACUUACGUGUUUGCGUCUCUCGCCUCUUGAACUUGCCUUUCACAGGUAGGUCACAAUGUUGAGAGAAAAAAAGGCAUAUGAAAUCAAAUCAUAAUAAUGCACGAACAGUUUUCUGUCUUUAGUUUGUUUGAACUAGAAUGACCAAGGUCCUUUGCCAUUCAUGGAAAUUUGUUUGUUUAAACAUGAUGCAAUUUGACAAACAACAAGGGGAAAGAAAUUCUAGAAAUGGACAGUUGUUAGCCUGGAUAUUAUCUUUAUAAAUUACAAUAGAACCAUGCCGAGCAAUGAUGCCAUGCAUGAAGUCAUUGCCAACAAUGCUGAGAAAUUUUAUCCAUCCAUCACGCAGCAAUGAAUGCUCAUUAUGAAAACACGCUAAAUGAUUCAUCAGAAGAAUUGUCAGACCCAUCGAAUGAAGCUCACGUACCUAAGGAAGCAACAUUCAAAGAACUACAUAAUCCGGUUGAUGGGAUUUCAUCGUCCUGGUGCUAUCUUCAUUGUGGUUGUAGAAAUUCUCCUCCUAUUCCUGCAUGAUCUGUCACAAAUUAGCAGAAUUGCAGUCCCCUCCAGAGCUCCACGAGAGGCAGGCCUAGAUUUCCCACCUCCUUAGUUGGAGAAAUGGAAGGGAUGAAAGUUGUUGCGUCCAAUCUAUUUAUAGUGCACUAUUUUUGGUUAAUGUUCCCUUGUUUGCAGUUCAUCACGAGGCAGUCCAGUUUGAGAGGCCAUGCGUGGCUCUGUUCAACUUGUCCGCAACGCAAAUGACGGGAAUGGAUGUUGGGUACUGCUUAAGAAUCAGGAGUCAUCACCUAGUGGUAAGUCAUCAGGCUCUCAAUCACAACCUCCCGUGUUACCAUUUCCCAUAUAUAGCAUGUUAAUUACGAGUUACGACUGAUAAAGCCAACAAAUUGCUAAGUUACUUAUGAAUUUUGAUUCUGGACAGUCCCAUAAUACAUGGUGUGAUUUGAGAUUCAAUGCACCAAGAUGAUCUUAACUUGCUGCUCACAGAGGCCAUGCCCCCCCUGUUGAAGGAAAAUGCGUAGAUCAUCUAUUAUAUUGCUGAGUUUCAUAAUUACAUAGGAAAUACAAUAUUUGCAGGACUCGGUUCUUCAUAUUUUCCAUUUUAUCUUUUGAUUUUAGACGACAAAGGCCUCGCUUAGAUUCCGUUUACUUGUAAUCUCACUUUAGUUUCUAUUAUACUUGUCCAAACCAUGGGAAGCUACAGAAGGAAAAAAUUUGGCUAAAGACAAAUGAAAUAGUAGGUCCUUUUAAGACCCACAAUUCACCCGUAUACAGUGUCAUUUAUCUUCAAAGUACCACAUACUCUUCAGACAAGGUGAACCUAGUUGUUGCAGUAUGAGAGCUGACGACAAGCAGAAAAGAAUCAUGAUGGCUUUAUUAUGGUAUAAACAUAGUGCCUCGCAUCUUUACAAGAUCAACAUUCUUUUCUUCCUUCUUUUUUAUUUUUGAAUGAAAUCCUUAUCCUUUUUUUUUGUGUAAAUGCAAUUUACAAGUGUUAAAGAAUUACACAAUACACAAAGAAUGAAAAAAGUUCUUUUGUACAACGCCUUCCCUAAUCCAAAAAAUAAUAAUAAAUAGCCCAUCCAAGUGAAGCUGUACAUGUCCUUAUGAUGCUUUUACCUGCAACCAGGAAAGAACAGCUUGUGGUUAUUUUGAACUCCUCAUUGUGUUAUGUUGUUUAAGAUUUUUUAUGAAUUAAAAAAGGACUCACCGUGUUAAGGUACUUCUCAUGAAUCUGCAAUGCUCCUCUGCAUGCCUUUUUUGCAUCCAGACUACCAGUGAUUUCAUUUAAAAUCUGUUUGUAGGGCAACAUAUACACAACAUAAAUUUCUUUCAUCAUCAUUAUAUAUAUAUAUAUAUAGAGAGAGAGAGAGACAGACAGAGAGAGGACCUUGACAACAUCGUCUAGACCUUUUGCCUCACCCAGUAACUGCUUGUUUCUAGCCUCUAUAACACUAGCAACAACAAAGACAGAUAGAGGGAUCUGGUCAUCUUUCUUAGCUGCUUGCAAUAUCUUCCGCUCAAACUUUCCACACUGUCCUAGAACACUUUCAUCCUUUGUGUUUGCGCUUGAUGUGCCAGUACCACUCUCCAACAUUGAAAAGAGAUUUGGAUUGUACUCCAUAGACCACAUGAGCUGCAACAUUUUGAAGUUGUACAGUAGUGUUUUAUGCAUAAACCAAUACAUAUUUCUAGCAUUACUGGGUCUAUACUUAAAAGUAUAACAAAAGUAAUGAUUUGAUAUUAGUGGAACCCAGACUGAAUUGUUAAGAAUAUGCAUUACUUAAGAAAUUUAUUAUAAUUUUUUUGUCCAGACAACUUACCUCCCAAAGGUACAUCGUAUCAACAAAUGAGAAUUCCCUACGGAAAAGAACCAUCAGCAUUCGGAAGGCAAAUAAGUAUUCCCCUCCAUCA
rnacentral:lncRNA from 1 species